GUAUUCGCUUUGGCGGUACAUUUACUAAAACUGGAACUAUAUAGAGAAGAUUAGACUGGCCCCUGUGCAAGAAUGAUAUGCUAAAUCGUUAGGUAUUCCACAUAUUC